rnacentral:rRNA from 1 species
UUCGGAAUGAAGUUUUGGUGACUGAGCGGCGGACGGGUGAGUAACGCGUGGGUAACCUGCCUCAUACAGGGGGAUAACAGUUGGAAACGGCUGCUAAUACCGCAUAAGCGCACAGUACCGCAUGGUACCGUGUGAAAAACUCCGGUGGUAUGAGAUGGACCCGCGUCUGAUUAGCUAGUUGGUGGGGUAACGGCCUACCAAGGCGACGAUCAGUAGCCGACCUGAGAGGGUGACCGGCCACAUUGGGACUGAGACACGGCCCAAACUCCUACGGGAGGCAGCAGUGGGGAAUAUUGCACAAUGGGGGAAACCCUGAUGCAGCGACGCCGCGUGAGCGAUGAAGUAUUUCGGUAUGUAAAGCUCUAUCAGCAGGGAAGAAAAUGACGGUACCUGACUAAGAAGCCCCGGCUAACUACGUGCCAGCAGCCGCGGUAAUACGUAGGGGGCAAGCGUUAUCCGGAUUUACUGGGUGUAAAGGGAGCGUAGACGGCAUGGCAAGCCAGAUGUGAAAGCCCGGGGCUCAACCCCGGGACUGCAUUUGGAACUGUCAGGCUAGAGUGUCGGAGAGGAAAGCGGAAUUCCUAGUGGAGCGGUGAAAUGCGUAGAUAUUAGGGGGAACACCAGUGGCGAAGGCGGCUUCUGGACGAUGACUGACG